rnacentral:lncRNA from 1 species
AGAAAAACUUCGUCUUUAUUUCAGUUCUCGUGACAUGAAUGAGACUUGGCUUCCAUCACAAACUUGGCAGUCAGCGAGGCUUCCAGAGGAUUCUAUUAGCAAUGAUGAUGAUGAUGGUUGAGAUGGUGCAAAGCCCUUUAUACUUUUCUGAGGCUCUUUCACAUGCCUUGUGAAAAAUUCUCACCAUUUAACCUUAAAACACCAUCAGAUAAGAAAUGUAUAUAUGCAAAGUAUUUUUUUUUCCAGGAAAAGAAAAUAGAUGUAAUUCAAUCUGGGUUCUUAAAUUUUUCAGAUCUAAAUGAACUUUAAAAUAUGCUUGGAUAUAUCUCUGAGGAAUAUAACCUUAACAUUUUUCAGUGUUCAACCUAGACUAAUAAUAAUAUCAGCAACUCUGGUUUGGGGAUCACAGAACUCACAAACCAUUCACAUCUGGCACAUUUCAUACCCCUUUCCUGAUUCUACUGUAAGAACAGUCAACAGGAAAUAUGUUCACCGUAAAUGACUGUGAGGCAGUGAUGCAUGCUGCAGCUUCAUUCUUCUGGGAGAGUCUGAGUUUCCACCAUAAGAAAACUAUUGUUGGAGUGUCAUAUGGGCAUCUCUCUCAUCUCCCAGAUCGAUGGCAUCGUCUAGGACUUCCCACAUAGACAAGAUAAACGAAAGGCUUCCAUGGACAGCUUGAGCCCUGAGGGCGGUGCCGAGCUGACAGCCUGGAACAUUGACCAACGCGCUGCAACUGACGUGUAAAUCACCCUCCGACUAGGGGUCCCGAAUCUGGAAAAGGAAAUGUCAUCUUUGGACUUUGCCCAUCAUGUGUUUAUGCACGAACAGUCCUUUCAAGUGCCUCUCUCCACCUUUGCAGACAAGUGGCAUAAUGCAGGUAGAGAUCACAUUUUUGGAGUUUAUUCCUAAGACUGGCUGUUAGUUUUUAUAAACAUUCCUUUUAUCUGAAAUUUAACCAUAAUUUUUUUUUCUUAAAAUGCCAUAUCUUCCUAUAUUUAGAGGGCAGGAUGCCAAGUCCAUAUCUACUCAAUAUAUCAAAUAUUUUCAGUAAGCCAGGAAUUAGAGCUUCCUUUUGUAAUCAACAAAACUCCUGGUAACUUCAUCUUUACUAACAGCCUCAUCCUUUCCUGCCAUUUCUUUGUUUGUUUGUUUAAUAAUUUGGUAGUACUGCUGUUGCCUUGCUUCCUGGCACCACUAGCCUGUCUGGGCAUGAUCUUUCUUUCCCCUCUUCCAAUUACUGGCCUCUGUUUGCCUCAAAGAGCCCACUUCUUAGGCACCACCUUCCCAACCCCUCUAAGCCACUGCUUACUUGGAUUGUGAGCUGUCGGCCCUUGUUCCCGGCUUCUGAUAUCACACCUGCUGGCCAGGCUGAAAUUCCUCCCUGCAUCCUCUGCAGCUGCCACUCUCAGAGCCAUUCCUCCUAGAUCCCACAUGUGCAUUCCAGGGCCUCUCAGUUGGCAUCUUCGCCAUGCAGGCAAUUUGGUCAAGUCAUUGUAGCAUCCUGAGACAUUCACUCUAUCCAUAUAAUUUAUGCAUUGGCCAUUUCUUGUCCUUUGAGAAAUACCACUGAUUGUC